rnacentral:rRNA from 2 species
ACGGGAGGCAGCAGUGAGGAAUAUUGGUCAAUGGGCGGAAGCCUGAACCAGCCAAGUAGCGUGAAGGAUGACGGCCCUAUGGGUUGUAAACUUCUUUUCUGCGUGAUUAAAGAGCCUACGUGUAGGCAGUUGCAGUUAGCGCAGGAAUAAGGACCGGCUAAUUCCGUGCCAGCAGCCGCGGUAAUACGGAAGGUCCUGGUGUUAUCCGGAUUUAUUGGGUUUAAAGGGAGCGUAGGCUGUAUGUCAAGCGUGUUGUGAAAUGCGCGGGCUCAACCCGCGGAUUGCAGCGCGAACUGGCGUACUUGAGUACACGCGAGGCAGGCGGAAUUUGUGGUGUAGCGGUGAAAUGCUUAGAUAUCACGAAGAACCCCGAUUGCGAAGGCAGCUUGCCGGAGUGUCACUGACGCUGAAGCUCGAAGGUGCGGGUAUCGAACAGGAUUAGAUACCCUGGUA